UGGGGAAUAUUGGACAAUGGGCGCAAGCCUGAUCCAGCCAUGCCGCGUGAGUGAUGAAGGCCCUAGGGUUGUAAAGCUCUUUCACCGGUGAAGAUAAUGACGGUAACCGGAGAAGAAGCCCCGGCUAACUUCGUGCCAGCAGCCGCGGUAAUACGAAGGGGGCUAGCGUUGUUCGGAUUUACUGGGCGUAAAGCGCACGUAGGCGGACUUUUAAGUCAGGGGUGAAAUCCCGGGGCUCAACCCCGGAACUGCCUUUGAUACUGGAAGUCUUGAGUAUGGUAGAGGUGAGGGGAAUUCCGGGUGUAGGGGUGAAAUUCGGAGAUAUUCGGGAGAACAACAGUGGCGAAGGCGGCUCACUGGACCAUUACUGGCGCUGAGGUGCGAAAGCGUGGGGAGCAAACAGG
rnacentral:rRNA from 1 species